rnacentral:lncRNA from 1 species
CGAAAUUCAAGGUUUGCUGGAUUAACAGUGUUUGAUCAAUUAUGCAAUAACUAUACGUUUCUUCCAUGCAGCAGCAUCGGAGAUCUCAAACAAAAUAAGAAAGGGUAAGCAUCUGACGAGCUACUAUUGUAAUCGAGGGAUAUCAACUGCAGCAGAAGUCGAUCCAUCAACCCUUUUGAUCUCCGAGCCUAGCAGACAUCACGAUUCAGAAACAAACCAUGUCCGAGUCCACCUCGCCGCUCCGCGCAGUCUUCGCUCUGGCCGACUCAAC